GAUGAACGCUGGCGGCGUGCCUAAUACAUGCAAGUAGAACGCUGAAGCUUGGUGCUUGCACCGAGCGGAUGAGUUGCGAACGGGUGAGUAACGCGUAGGUAACCUGCCUGGUAGCGGGGGAUAACUAUUGGAAACGAUAGCUAAUACCGCAUGACAACAGUUAUUGCAUGAUAACUGUUUAAAAGGGGCAAUUGCUCCACUACCAGAUGGACCUGCGUUGUAUUAGCUAGUUGGUGAGGUAACGGCUCACCAAGGCGACGAUACAUAGCCGACCUGAGAGGGUGAUCGGCCACACUGGGACUGAGACACGGCCCAGACUCCUACGGGAGGCAGCAGUAGGGAAUCUUCGGCAAUGGACGGAAGUCUGACCGAGCAACGCCGCGUGAGUGAAGAAGGUUUUCGGAUCGUAAAGCUCUGUUGUAAGAGAAGAACGAGUGUGAGAGUGGAAAGUUCACACUGUGACGGUAUCUUACCAGAAAGGGACGGCUAACUACGUGCCAGCAGCCGCGGUAAUACGUAGGUCCCGAGCGUUAUCCGGAUUUAUUGGGCGUAAAGCGAGCGCAGGCGGUUAGAUAAGUCUGAAGUUAAAGGCUGUGGCUUAACCAUAGUACGCUUUGGAAACUGUUUAACUUGAGUGCAAGAGGGGAGAGUGGAAUUCCAUGUGUAGCGGUGAAAUGCUUAGAUAUAUGGAGGAACACCGGUGGCGAAAGCGGCUCUCUGGCUUGUAACUGACGCUGAGGCUCGAAAGCGUGGGGAGCAAACAGG
rnacentral:rRNA from 1 species